UGCGUAGGCGGGCUAAUAAGUCAGUGGUGAAAUCUCUCGGCUCAACCGGGAAACUGCCAUUGAUACUGUUAGUCUUGAGUUCGGUUGAGGUAGGCGGAAUGUGUAAUGUAGCGGUGAAAUGCUUAGAUAUUACACAGAACACCAAUUGCGUAGGCAGCUUACUAGACCGACACUGACGCUGAGGAACGAAAGCGUGGGGAGCGAACAGGAUUAGAUACCCUGGUAGUCC
rnacentral:rRNA from 1 species